rnacentral:tRNA from 1 species
GCUGAGGCUCAGUGGUAAAGCACCUGCCUAGCAUUCAGGAGGCCCUGGGUUCCAUCCGCAGCACUGCA